ACACGCACUCAGGGUUUGCUACUGGAAUGUUUGAAGCCUAGGCUCCGCCUGACCGAGCCUCCCUGUGCGUGUGGGGAGACUACCUACACUUCUAUAAGCCCUCUUCUGAAAAGGUGCAGUAAAAGAAUUAGAGAAGACAUUUGGGGAGCAGUCUUUUCCUUGUUGCCAUUUCUCAUCGGAUGUACAAAGCAACUUAUAGGAUACAAGAUCUAAAUCUUCUGCCAGUGUGUGCUACACGUUGGGUACCCUCUGAUACGCUGAAAUUGCAUUGAAGGGCACAAAGGCUGGACAUAGCAGUGUGGGCGCUGUACUGCAGAUGUUCUCAGGGGCCUCCAGACGGGGAAAAGUGCAUUUAAAAAUUUACCUCUGGUAUUUAAGUGUGGUUAAUUAAAUUCCAAAAUUGUACUUAAUGAAAUUUGUAAUUCCUGAUGUCUUUGGAAUCUGUAACUGCUUUUCAGAAGACCUCUGCCUCAACUUUUCUUUAAAGAAACUGGUUUGUUAAAUGAGGAAUGAGUAAUCCUGAAUAAUUAGUUUUGCAGAGAAUAAAUGGACUAAAAUGCAAUAAUAUCUUUUCAAAUACCAUAUUUAGGUACCUUUAAGCAAGUAAUCCUUAAAACUAUUUAGCCUUUCUGGAGUUAUCUAUAAUAUUGUGUUCUCAAUUUUAAUGGCUCUUUUGCUUUUCUUUUUUUUUUCUUUUGGUUGGAAAUCAGGAUGUGUAAUGUUAGCAUGUAAAUUAUAGUAUGGUAAAAUCUUGUUUUUGCCAUAUUAUCUGCAUAAUUGUAAAUGUGUUGCUAGUACCUAUCAUUACUCAUAACAAACAUACUAUGAAAAUCUACAUUAUUGGUGCAGCACUAUCCGAUAGAAAUAUAAUAUGAGCUACAUGGGGAAUUUUCAGUUUUCUGCUAGCUGUGUUUUUUUAAAAAGUGAAGUUAAUUUUAAUACCAUAUUUUAUAUUAUCUAAUACAUCAGAAAUGUUAUUUCAACAUGCAGUCAAUAUAAAAAUCAUCAAUGAGAUAGUUCACAUUCUUUUUUCCAUACUAAGUCUCUGCAUUUCCAUAUUUCAGUUUGGAUGAGCCACACUUUCAGUGCUCUGUCACCACCUGUGGCCUGCCUACUGCCAUACUGAACAGCACAGUGUUUAAUGCCGUUUCACUAGUAUUCUUGGAACUGUUUCUACAUUUCUGUGAUUGUUUUUGGUUGGUAGCUAACACUUGAAUGUUCUACAUGCUGACACACAGCAGCAAAGAACAUAGAGCUUCUAGGCCUGGCUGUUCUUUCUUAGUUGGAAAAGAAAUAGAAUUACCAUAAAAUGAAUUUUAAUUGUGUGCGCAUGUAAAUAUAAAGACACUAAUUAUUUUAAUAAAUUUUGAGUUCAGCCUUAA